rnacentral:tRNA from 1 species
GGAGUUACAGCUCUGUGGUAGAGUGUGUGCUUAGCAUGCACAAGGUCCUGGGUUCAAUCCCCAGCACCUCCA